GACGUAGGAUGCGAGCGUUGUCCGGAUUUAUUGGGCGUAAAGAGUUCGUAGGUGGUUUGUUAAGUCUGGUGUUAAAUACUGAAGCUCAACUUCGGAACUGCACUGGAUACUGGCAGACUUGAGUACGGUAGAGGCGAGCGGAAUUCCCAGUGUAGCGGUGAAAUGCGUAGAUAUUGGGAAGAACACCGGUGGCGCAAGCGGCUCGCUGGGCCGUUACUGACACUGAGGAACGAAAGCUAGGGGAGCAAAUGGG
rnacentral:rRNA from 1 species